CCCGGUAAACGGCGGCCGUAACUAUAACGGUCCUAAGGUAGCGAAAUUCCUUGUCGGGUAAGUUCCGACCUGCACGAAUGGCGUAAUGAUGGCCAGGCUGUCUCCACCCGAGACUCAGUGAAAUUGAACUCGCUGUGAAGAUGCAGUGUACCCGCGGCAAGACGGAAAGACCCCGUGAACCUUUACUAUAGCUUGACACUGAACAUUGAGCCUUGAUGUGUAGGAUAGGUGGGAGGCUUUGAAGCGUGGACGCCAGUCUGCGUGGAGCCAACCUUGAAAUACCACCCUUUAAUGUUUGAUGUUCUAACGUGGACCCGUUACCCGGGUUGCGGACAGUGUCUGGUGGGUAGUUUGACUGGGGCGGUCUCCUCCCAAAGAGUAACGGAGGAGCACGAAGGUUGGCUAAUCCUGGUCGGACAUCAGGAGGUUAGUGCAAUGGCAUAAGCCAGCUUGACUGCGAGCGUGACGGCGCGAGCAGGUGCGAAAGCAGGUCAUAGUGAUCCGGUGGUUCUGAAUGGAAGGGCCAUCGCUCAACGGAUAAAAGGUACUCCGGGGAUAACAGGCUGAUACCGCCCAAGAGUUCAUAUCGACGGCGGUGUUUGGCACCUCGAUGUCGGCUCAUCACAUCCUGGGGCUGAAGUAGGUCCCAAGGGUAUGGCUGUUCGCCAUUUAAAGUGGUACGCGAGCUGGGUUUAGAACGUCGUGAGACAGUUCGGUCCCUAUCUGCCGUGGGCGCUGGAGAACUGAGGGGGGCUGCUCCUAGUACGAGAGGACCGGAGUGGACGCAUCACUGGUGUUCGGGUUGUCAUGCCAAUGGCACUGCCCGGUAGCUAAAUGCGGAAGAGAUAAGUGCUGAAAGCAUCUAAGCACGAAACUUGCCCC
rnacentral:rRNA from 1 species